UUUCCAAGGUGAGUUCAAGCGAGAAGUAAGUUCUUGAACCAUUCCCAAUAUUCAAAAAAAGUUUCAUUUAUUUUUUGGGAGAAAUUCAUUAUGUUUUAUCUGAGAGU